GACGAACGCUGGCGGCGUGCUUAACACAUGCAAGUCGAACGGAAAGGCCCUGCUUUUGUGGGGUGCUCGAGUGGCGAACGGGUGAGUAACACGUGAGUAACCUGCCCUUGACUUUGGGAUAACUUCAGGAAACUGGGGCUAAUACCGGAUAGGAGCUCCUGCUGCAUGGUGGGGGUUGGGAAGUUUCGGCGGUUGGGGAUGGACUCGCGGCUUAUCAGCUUGUUGGUGGGGUAGUGGCUUACCAAGGCUUUGACGGGUAGCCGGCCUGAGAGGGUGACCGGGUACAGGGGGACAGAGAUAGGGGCGGGGGGGCUGCGGGCGGGAGCAGUGGGGGAGGGGGGCGAGUGGGCGGAGGCAGGAAGGAGCGACUCCGGGUGGGGGAGGACGGGCGGGGGGGAGGAAAAGGCUUGGGCCUGUGAGGAAGCGGGAGUGACGGUACCGGGUAAGGAAGCACCGGCUAACUCCGUG
rnacentral:rRNA from 1 species